CACAUUUGUGAGGUUUACCAACUGCAGAAAACACAAUUGAGUUCAAGACCCCAAUUAAAUGUCAGCCUUAUGUGUAAGGGGAAUGCAUGCAAUACAAUCAUUACCAAAAAAAGCUAAAAAAAAAAUUUUACCCUUGAGAGCUAAAAGUGUUAAGGACUUGGUGAAAAUUACUGAAUUUAAAAAUGUUAAUGCACAAGGGCUUCUUUCAUGGUACCAAGAACUCAUGAGACUCUUGUUUUGUCUUAAUUUGUCUGCUUUACUGACUACCAAAUUCUCUCCUCCCCAAUCACUGAAGCCUAUCCUUUAACUGGCGGAAACGAGCCCCUGCUGUGUUACAAUGUGGAUGCCGGUGACUGGACAGAGAUGUGAGGAAGGCCUGCGUGUUGGCUACACUGUCUUCAGAUUUGCCUACAGAGUAGGCUCCAGUCUAUGCUGUGGGCCGGAUCUGCCACGAUGCUGGGGCUACGUUGAAUGCAGCCGGAGUGAAUUCAGUUCCAGGUGCUACACUGGAUCACUUGAGGUGAACAGAAGCCACAGUAAGAAGAUCAACGUGGUAGCCAAAAUUUGACUUCUGGACCAUUUAAUAGAGAAUGAAAAGGAUCUCUCUUUAUUUAUACAAAGUGAUGUACCCCCGACAUCAAGAAAUAAUGUUGCAAUAUAGAAUAUUGCCUAAAACUGCGCAUUUUAUUGAGUAUUACUUUUAGAAAUUAACAGGAUAUAGAUAACCACUCAGUGUCCUUUUCUGAAAAAGCUGUUCCUUCAGUAAAUUUCAUGAUCAAAUUGUUUCCGGUAUAUAUGCUAUGGUGUCUGAACAUCCAUUUUUCUGAAAAUACAAUUGAUUUUAACUCUGGAACAUAAGAAGCAUGUUCACUAUAAGCGACUGAGCUCAAGAGUAUCUUGAAGCAUAGCCCAAUACUCUGUAGGAAAGAAGUUCUAAGCUUGCAACUUUCAAAGGAAGCCAUGAGGCAGGAAGGGAGAUCUAUUCUCCACCCCUCCAAAAUCCCCCAGCUCCCUCCUGCUGUCAGCAUGGGACGAAUUCUCUAUUUCUGCUAACGUGCUGGUCCAUAAGACCUCAGGCCACCACCAGCUACUAGGGAAAGCUGUGAUAUUGAUCCUCGCUUUUAAUGGGACAAGGGAAUGGUCAUUCCCAAUGGAAUAGAGUGUGACCACAUUUGAAUUUGCCAGACGAUGGCCGAAGUCCUUAUUUUACUUCAAUGAAACCAUUUUGAGGAAAUCAUCACUGCUUCUUUCCCCAAGAGCAGUGUGUGUCUCCACAGCAUUUUCGGACAGACAGAUCCCCAGAAGUCUUGCACCCAUGAUGGUUUUCUCCACUUGCUCAUCCGUGAAACCAGAAUAGAAAUACACGGUCCAAAGUCUACCACUGUUCUAUAAUUACUCAAGUAAUCUGCGGUGUUUAGAGUAGGAUACCAUCAUGCCUGAAACGAAAUAUACAGGCCUGGAGCCAGAAUAACGUAAAACACUCCACUAGGUGUUCCUAACUCCACACAGGAAAGAAAAGAGAGCAGCUCUGCUUUUAAGGACUGAUGUACAUGACAGAUUCCACUGCAGUCAGAGUAAUCUGGGAAUGAUGAUGACCUAGGGUUGGUGUCAACUUAAAAAUGAGUGUUUGUGCUUUCCACUGACAUGGGAAGUGGCGCUUCCCACUGACCCAAGGUACUAUUGCUGCCAACUCUGUCUAUGUCUCCAUGACCCCUUAGCAACGACAGCUGUGAGGCUUCCUCCUAGAUCACUUGUUAGCACGGCAGAAAGACAGCAUAGUCCUCUCUACUGAGGCCCAUUUCUUGUCAUCCCCAGGCACCACUUUGGCUCCAGGUGGAACCACCAUCCAUGCUCAUCGCCCAGGUGAACAUCUAAAGAUGCUCAAGACAGUAGUCUUCCCAUCUCAGGGGAGCCACCUGUUCUCCCUGCCCCCCUGUAACAGGGCAACUGUCCCACUUCAUAGCCCCCUGCUGACCCACCUGCCCUCUGGGGGAAGCAACUCCUCACAGUAUAGCCACUUUCUUGGAAGUUUUUAGGAAGUCAAAUCACCCAAAUCCUCACAAUUUUCUGAUCGAGAGCAUGUGGGGAUCCUUCUCCAUGUGCACCCCCGGGAAGGAGGUCAGGAUGGAAAGGAGGGGGUGCACCAGUCCCUGCGACUCCUCUCCUUUUUGUCUCCAGCCAACUGGGUGGAUUACCGCAGGGACCACCCGCCAGGAGAGAGACUGCAUUCUUGCCAAUAUGGGGGCCACACCCCUUUCUGGGAUUACUGCUGACUCACACACUGGUUUACAACUUCUCUAAAGCAAGCUUCAGACACUCGCCUUCCAGCAUGUGGUUCAGAAGUCCCUCCCUUCUAUGGGAAGUCUCUCUUGACUUUUCACCCCAGGAUCCACUGUACCCUUCCUUAUGUUCCCUCCGUCCCCUCAGAUUCAAUGUCAUGCCUCCUAUAAAGCUGAUGCUUUCCUUGUGCGCACCUGAGGUCUCCCGUGCAGAAUGGUCACCCCAGGAAGCUCAGUAAAUGUGUGAUAAAGAGAUGGACACAAUGAGCAGCCUCUAAAACCCCCAAUCAUCAAAUCCACGUCACAUUUGGGAAGAGAUGGCCUGGGCUGCUGCAGACCUUUCACAAAGAGCACACGUCCCUGCCUCACUGAGGGAGGCUCCUCCUUAUCCUGCCACCCGGGGAGGGUGAGGAGCAGCUGGUCUGAAGCAUUGCCAUUCUCCUGGGCACCUGAUUAGAGAGACUACUGACUGGGGAAGGGCCCAGGCUGGUGGCUGGCUGGGGCAGGAGGCUCUUCGGGGGGAAGGACAAAGGCCAUCAACCUCCCACCCACAAGCCCCAUGCAGUAUACUAUAGCAAAUAUCCCCGACUGGACAGUAUGAAGGAGAACUGUGGGUUUCAUGUUGUGUAGACCACACUCAGGCAAACAAGAUCUGUGACAGGCUGGCCAAGAGCCCGCUUUUCCUCUGCUCUGUGGAAUUAUGGGGCUGCUGGGUAAUGAAACACUGUGGACUAUUUCUCAGGAGGCAGAGGAAGGGGAUCUAACCAAACUAUAGUGGAUUUGGGCUUCACAGGAUGGGAGUGUUUUGAGAAUGAUGGAGCAUUUAUGCCUCUGAUGAUCUUGCCAAGACUCUGGAUUAUUUGAGUUGUACUUUAUCUGUCUAAUUCAAAGAGAAAGGCUGCUGUCUAAAACCUGGUAACAGCCCCAGACUGGCCUCUGCAACUGUGGCCUUGGCUGGUUUUUGGUGUCAGAGCUACACUGGGCUCAGACUGGGUGGAUGUGCCCUAAAUCACCCUUGUCUACCAGUUCUGCAAAAUAGCUAUCCCAUUAUACCUGUGUAAAACACUCCGAAGUGUGACUUAACAGCUAACAUAACAAAUUGUACUCGGAAACGUUUUUGGUCUUAGCAGUACAUGUGGUGAAAACAUUUCCUGCACAAUUCUUUAUGGAAACCCCACUAGCCUGACAAAUGGGAUGAGGAGAACUGUUCUGAAACACGCUACCUAAGGUGAGACGUGUGUGUGUGUGUGUGUGUGUGUGUGUGUGUGUGUGUGUGCGCGCGCGCGCGCAUGGGGGUCCCGGGGCCCAAUCCCCUGGUGCGAUGGGGAAAAUAGAAUAUGAGGGAGGGCAAUGUUAAGGAAGUGUCAGCCCACACCUGAUGCAGGGCUGCGAGCUGGAAAGGCCUCAGGGUUAGCCAGCCAGGAUGCAAUCUGGGACCCUCAAGGGCAUAGCAGAGGAGCCCCAGACACCCGGACUGCCCCUGACUGCGUCCAGGGGACCUACCGGAGUGUGUCCUCAGGUGGCCGGUGAGAGCGUCCCUCCGGCGGCAGGCGUAGUUGCAGAGGUGGCAUUUGAAGGGCUUCUCCCCGGAAUGCAGCUUGAUGUGCCGCAGCAGGUUGCCCUUCUGGGUGAAGGAGGCCCCGCACUGAUUGCACUGGAAGGGCCGUUCUCCUGGGACGGAGAGAGGAGAGCCGGUGAGAACUAAACUCAGCGUAGGGACACGAGGACAGCGCUACAAGAAAGUUGUUUCCCACGGGGGCUUGGUGACUUCCACCGGCUGCAGGUUUGAUAGAACAUGAGGCUUUCAGACUAAACCUGCCAGCUCCUUAACGCUUCACUGGCUGGGUCAAUUUGAUCUGAAAAUCUAAUUUUUUUUCCCUAAAUCAGAAUGGCACAUCACAAUGCAAAUUCAAACUCAUUUAAAUAAAGUGACUGCAACAUUUUGUGAUGAAGAGCCACUCUUCCUGAUCAGCAGUUUUGGAAUAAACCAAUAUCCAAUUUUGCGUGUUGUGGCAUUUGGUGGGGUUUUUAAUGUGGCUUUUUUCAAAGGGUCUUUAAAAUAUGCCACUGAAGCAGCAAAAUAAAAAGGAAACUCAU